rnacentral:misc_RNA from 1 species
UACGGAGGGUGCAAGCGUUAAUCGGAAUUACUGGGCGUAAAGCGCGCGUAGGCGGCUUGGUCAGUUGGGUGUGAAAGCCCCGGGCUCAGCCUGGGAAUUGCAUCCAAUACUGCCAGGCUAGAGUACGGUAGAGGGGGGUAGAAUUCCUAGUGUAGCGGUGAAAUGCGUAGAUAUUAUGAGGAAUACCAGUGGCGAAGGCGGACCCCUGGACCGAUAAUGACGCUGAGGUGCGAAAGCGUGGGGAGCAAACAGG